UGUCAUUGGAAGUUUACUUAACGCACUUAUAAAAGAUAUAAGUUAAUCAGUAAUUGCUUCAAGUCCUCUCAAUAUGAACCAUUUUGGAAGUUGUUUUAUUUUUUGGAAAAUUUUUGCAUUUUAUGCCACACUCAAUGUUGGAUGUGGUGGACGAGUUCAUUAAACUAUUCGAUUUUAGCUUUGAACUCCGCGAAAGGGUUGCACUAAUAGAAAAAUGGCUAAAAGGGGAAAAUCCCAAUAAUUCAGAUGUAAUAAAAAGCGUUGAAUCAUCUUUGAAAUAUUUACAGAAAAAAUGUGGUAAAGAAAUUACACGUUAUCCUUCUUGUGUGAAUGACGUGGCAUUCAUUUAUAAUGCUUAUUAUGAAUUGGAGUCACGCAAAAAACGUCGUCCGUAGCCGAUGAUACCUUUAAAAAAGUGAGCAGAAUUAUUUCACCUGAAACGGCGUUUCGUGGCUAUCUUGAAUGCCUAACAGCCAAUACCACUGCCGCUGAUAUAAGCAAUGGAAAUGUGGAUCUUAACAUUGAAGCUAAACUUUUCCUGAGUAUCUCAACGGUACGGCAUUUGGAUGAAUCCGUUCGGUAACAUUAAAUUCCCGUUAGAGUUAGGGAAAACCAAUUCAAAAUGAGCAAUUUCUUUUUAAAUUCUAGUUCAGUUUAUUUAAUCCAUAUUAUGAGUCUUAUAGAAAAGGCGUUCACUCGAGAUCGUAUUCAGUUUAACAAUAUGAAAGGAGUAUUUGAGAAAUUUAUGCAUUCUGUUAAUAUUGCGUCUCGACUCAACAACACAAUAAAUUAUCUGUCACUGUCGUUCAAUCAACUUACUGAUGAUAUAAAGGUGGCUUUGGAGAAGCCAAAUUCAAUUUUCAGCUUGAAUUCCAAAUUUCAAUGUGAUGAAGAUAUUGUUUUACCAAAUUAUACACCAAGUCUUAUUAAUAAUGAAAAUAUCACGAAACUGUUCACAAUCAUGUUGCAUGCUUAUGUUUUAUAUGGCAUGCGAAUGAAUCAAAUGAUGCUUGACGUAUUCUUGCGUAUUCUCAAAUCUACGAUUUACGGUAUACAAUGCAAACAAAGCGCAUAGAUCUACAAUCCACUUUUAGUUUUGAACAAAGCGAUGAUUUUGUCACCAAAGCAAAUCGAGAGUAUUUGCAGAGUUUAAUCAAUAUUUUAAUGUUGUCCGCUGGUCAAUUGAAAGAUGAAAGUUGUAGAAGUAUAGAUAGGAUGACAAUUGAAGAAAUGAAGCGGAUCAUGAAAAUAUAUCAUCAAAUUCAUCAAAUUGACAAUGUAUUCGAUUGGAAUGAUGAAAGUUUUGAUAUAAUUUCUCAGCAUUUUCACAUAAAAUUCACCAUCCAAUUUUUCAGCGACUCUCAUAAUGUCCAAACUAUCGAGAAACUCAAUGAUGCGUUCAAUUGCAUAUUUGUAAAUUUUGGAAAAUCGUUGGAGUCGUAUACUAUUGAAUUUGCAGAACAAUUCAAUUGAUACAUUUUUGCACUGAUCAAAAGAUAACAGCUUAAAAAUUCUUUCUUUUCACACAAACAAUAAGAAUUUGUCUACUUUUCUGUUAAUAAAAAAAAAACAAUUUUCCUUAGG